rnacentral:rRNA from 1 species
CCUACGGGAGGCAGCAGUGAGGAAUAUUGGACAAUGGUCGAAAGACUGAUCCAGCCAUGCCGCGUGCAGGAAGACGGCCCUAUGGGUUGUAAACUGCUUUUGUUUGGGAAGAAACCUUUCUACGUGUAGAAAGCUGACGGUACCAUACGAAUAAGCACCGGCUAACUCCGUGCCAGCAGCCGCGGUAAUACGGAGGGUGCAAGCGUUAUCCGGAUUUAUUGGGUUUAAAGGGUCCGUAGGCGGACUUAUAAGUCAGUGGUGAAAUCCUGCAGCUCAACUGUAGAACUGCCAUUGAUACUGUAAGUCUUGAAUUCGGUUGAAGUGGGCGGAAUAUGGCAUGUAGCGGUGAAAUGCUUAGAUAUGCCAUAGAACACCGAUUGCGUAGGCAGCUCACUAAGCCUGGAUUGACGCUGAGGGACGAAAGCGUGGGUAGCGAACAGGAUUAGAUACCCUGGUAGUCCACGCCGUAAACCGAUGAUUACUCGACAUUAGAGAUACCACGGUUAGUGUUCAUAGACGAAGACAUUAAGUUAAUACCACCGUCGGGUAGGUACGUUACGUCGACGAAGUAGAAACGUUAAAGUUAAGUUAGUAGACGUGAGAGAGACGACGACGACGACGACGGAGGGAGGAGG